AGGGUCACAGGAUUGCUACAAAAUAACAAAUGCCUGGAGCUACAUUUUCUUGCUACUGGUUACAACAAAGAGCUGGGAUAACAGAAUGGAGAAUCUUCUUCUUCCUCCUUCUUCUUGACCCUGAAAGUCACCUGACCUGUUGACCAAUAACAGUUUACAAACACUCUCAAGUUUCCCGGGCUUGCAGAUUAUUGGCUUUGAGCCAGGUUCCCUUUCCAGGUCAAUCUAAACAAUAGCAUGGUAGGUAAACACAUUAACCCCAUAAUGACUGAAUCUCAGACCUUGCAACACACAUAUAUUCCAACACUCCUCAUAAAGGAACCAAUAUUCCAGUAAGAAACAACUGAGCAACAAAAUGGAAAGCAUUCCAGAGUCAAGAAAUUACGUUUUUCCCCCGUUUCCUUGAAAGCUGUAUAAGUGGGGAAGGGGGGACCAAGCCAAACUUCGAAAAAACAGUUUAAUAUGUCACUAGCAGUUUGUGCUACCUGGCAGUAUUGAGGUUGGGGGGUGCAUUUUCUCUUGCUCCCAAUAAUGACAGGCCCUUGAUGUUGCACUUUUGUUCAACAGGCCCAAAUGAAGUCACUUUCCACAAGUCUCUCAGAUGCUGUACAUAUAUCAUGUUUUUUGAUUUAGCAUUUGGUUUGAAAAUCGCUUGCUUGUUAAUUUGAGUUCAAUAGUUGUUGUGGGGUCCAAAGGGGAAGGGGGUAUAAACAUAUCGUUAUCAAUAUUGUAUUGCCUUUUCAAUGGGUGGUGGGUAGGGGGUGAAGUUUUAACUGUUAUUUUAUAUGUUUUGAUUUAGAUAUAGAUUUCCUUUUUUAGGGUUUUUGUAAGAAUGUGGAAAAUUCAUUUUUAUGGGACUACUAAUUAAAGAGAGACAGUCACAAUUUCAUGAGCCCUACAAAGUGUUGCACUGUUGCAAACUGUUUUACUCAGUUGUUUAAUAUGGCUUCUUGUAUCUUUUUGAAAACUAAGCAAUCUUUAUACUGCUAGUGUGAUUAAUCUAUCAAGUUUUACAGGAACUGAUCACCAAUAUUGUGCUAUCAGGACAUUACUAAUCUGUGGUUUUGCCUACAUUCAUGGUUUAACCAUGUGAUGCUUGUUUAUGAAAAAUAAAUAAAAAUGAUUUCAAGAAAAUGUUGAAUCGGAAGACCUGCCAAACUACCACAGCAGUAGGCCAAAGUUUCCACAUUCACUUCUCCCCCUAUGGGCUAAACCAAUUGGGGAAAGUGAAACUGCAAGUAAACUGAAAGAAAGCUCUGAGGCCUGCUAAAAGGUUCUGGGUCAUCUAUUGGAUAGUCUGUCAUAGUAAAGAUUGGUGCCCAGCGUUUGCCGCACUUCUGUCCUGCUGAAAUGGCCACCCAGAAAUGCAGGGGUGUGCACGUUGAAUGCAAGCCAUACAUUACUCAUCAGAGGACCCAACUUAGUAUGGAUGAAGUGCUUCUGAUUUUGCAAAAAGAAGUUCUUGAUGAAGACAGAACAUGCACAUUGCCACCUGUGCUACUGAAGGGAGGUGAGGUUUAUGUGUAUUGUCCUAGUUCCUCUGAAUUGAAACAACAGCUGGUUUUCCGCUUUGACCAGUACAGGUGGAUCUCUAAAGGGUCAAACUUCCAUUGUGGACGCAAACACCCACCUUGCGUACUAAAAAGGUAUUAUUACCUGAAAGACCCCAAUGGGUCAAGGAAAGACUCAUUGGCUGCUUUCAAGAAACAUGUGUAUAGCUUGAGAGAGCAAAAAAAUACUAGGCCACGGUACAUCAUCCAUUACCUUGGCGAUGAAAGCCUGUACAGACCCUCAUGUCACGGUAAUCAGAAAUCAUCGAGCAAAACUUUUUUGGGUACCAUGAAAUGGGUCUUUGCAGAGGUGGAAAAUAUGCUUGACCUGCAUAAAGAGCCAGUAAAGGUAUACAAACAUUUACAAAGCAAGAAAUCUCAGGAUUUUUCUGUCCAGUAUAUGCCUGUCAAUCGUCCAGCAAAUCUCAAGCAGGUGCAAAAUUUGUCAUACAGGCAUAAACAGAGAAAACACAUCAGCAAUGAUGAGGUGUUCAACAUUGUGGAACUCUCUGCACAUCUUGACUCAUUUGUUACCAGAUUUAUGAUGCUGCCUGACCUCACCAGCUCAUUUGGCCAUCCAGAUCUCAUGCGACAUGCAUGUGCUCUUCUUUCCUUAUCAAGUGAAGAUGAUAGCUUGCCCCAGCUUGUCUCAUAUGACACUACCUUUAAACUUGGGGAUUUCUAUUUGUCUCCAAUUGUGAUGAGAAAUGUCACCUUGAAAGGUGAUCCAGUGUUCCCUUUGGCUUUCCUGCUUCAUAAGGAGAAAUUCAUGUCAUACCAUCAAGAUUUCCUGUCUGAAAUUCUGACAAAAAUGGGUAUAGAUAAAAUGAAGAACAUACCAUUUGUGACAGAUAGAGAAAGAGGUAUUGUACAGCCUUUGCAAAUGAAGUUCCCACAAAUUCCAAAUGUUUAUUGCAGAAAUCAUAUUAUGAGAGAUGUCGGCACCUGCGUUAGAAAGCAUGGAGAAAAUAGCAAACAUCUUAAGGUGUUAAGAGACCACAUUGCACUGCUUUUGAAUUCAGAAUCUCUGGAAGAAUAUCAGGACAAGUAUGAACAGUACAGCAUUUUGUGGAGCCAACCUUUCAAAGAGUACUUCGAUAAAGAACUGAAGGACAGCAUACCAAAACAUGCAGCCAGGUUUUUCACUCGAGAUUUUGCAGCCUUCAAAAAUGAUGUAACGGCAACCAAUAACAUUAGUGAGAGCAUGAAGAGGGUCAUAAAGAAUGAACUGGAUUGGAAGGAAAUGCCUGCAGAUUGCUUGCUGCUAGCAAUGUUUUAUAUGCAAACUUUUUUUCUUUAUGAGUUUGAACGGGCAUAUUGCGGUCUUGGAAAUUAUUCACUCAAGGAACAGUUUUCCCACUUACAAAAGACAUCAGGAAAGUCACAGUUUCCACCUUUCUAUGAUCUAGAAGCAAUUAUUGACAAGAUAAAAUCAAGCGAUCCACCUCCAAAGACAGGUGUGGAGAAGGCUGAGGGUUAGAGAAAAAGUCAAACUUCACUGGCCCGACUUUGUAUAGACUCUGGAGGAGUUGCCCUCUGCCCACAGAGUGCUACCUUUACUGUCAGAGAAGUCAAUAGCUGCAAAGUGCAGGCUGUGAAACUCCUUCCAGAACCUGCUGUUUGUUCCUGUACCAGUACUGGGCGCUGUUACCAUAUUAUUGCAGCAGAAAUGUCAAUGGGCUAUGUAGAGAAAACUGACAAACUUAUUCUCUGUCCAAGCUUCUUUUAAAAAGGGCAAAUCUCAAAGAUCUGGAAGAAAAAAGGCAAGAGUGGGGGACUAUGACUAUAGCAUCGCACCAGCAGCUGAUUCUGUGCUGGGUUCAUCACAAGAUAAAAUUGUUGCAUUUGCCAGUGCUCAGAAUAAUAAUAUACUGAAUAUUUCAGAAAUUGAGAAAAUGCAGACUCCAGGUUCCACUUUACAAGAUGCAUUGCCAUCACAUUCCACUCCAAAAGCACAAGGGAAUUUUGAGCAAGGCGAGCGGCUGGAGGAUCCUUGGAAUAAAACAGGCACAGAAAUAGACAGAAAAUUGAUUAACAGCAUACCGACCAAUAUCAGAGAGUCACUGAAGCCUGGGGCAUGGCUCUGUGAUGAGGCCAUAGAGGAAGCUAUUACCAGUUUCAUCUGCCAAAGAAAUCUGAAUGAAAAGAUUUUACUCUGUCCAACAUAUAUAUACAGUUGUGUGGCUCUGGGCAAACCUCAUGUUUUCUAUCCAUUUCUAGAUCUCACAAUGGCUUUCAACAAGGACAUUUUACUCCUUCCCUUCAAUACUGAUUUAUACUCCACCGGACUUCAUUGGGUAUUGGGCAUUAUAGUCUUCAAGUCAAGAAAAAUUAUAAUAGUUGAUUCAGCAAAAGAUCAGGAUCGAUCACAGCAGCAUGGAAACAUUUUGUUGUCAACUGCUGCAGCAUGUCAUCAAAUAGCGGGUGUUCCUUUAAGGCAUGUAGAGUGGAAAAUAAUGUUAUGUGCAGACACAGCUCAACAGAACAAUACUUUUGACUGUGGAGUCUACACAACAUUAAAUGCAUUUCGCGUUAUUUCUGUAGAAGAGUACGGUAGCCUACAAAGUGAGAAUGUCAGAAACUGGAUAGCAAUAAACAUUGGUUUGCACAAGAACUGCAAGUGCAGGAGUAACACAGGAAAAAAACAGUUCCCGGGUUCCUACCAGAGCUUACGCCGGCAACUUCAUGCAAUGCCUACCAAAGCAUGUGUACAGGAACAACCUCUGUUACGGUAUCUUCUGUCAUUAGUCGAUAAAAAAUCCAGCAGAUGGUCAACUUGCCCAGAAAAGUCAUGCCAGGGCAACUUCACCCCAGAAGACUGCAUGGUGUUCUGCUGCAGCUGCAGAUGAUGGUAUCAUGCAGCUUGCCUUCCUCCAGCCACAAUCAAACUGCCAACGUGCUUCGUCUGCAAGCAGUGUGUGCACUACACAUAAUAUCAAACAAGUCUUGUUCAACAGUUACAACGGUAUGAUCAAAUUUUGAAUUCCGAUUGCAUCUUGUUAUUGUCAUAAUGAGUAGAGAGCAGGAGAUUGUUUUGAGAGGUGGGGGUCGGGGUGUCAAAAGGCAAGCUGGAUGCAAAGAACUGUUCGCUUGUUCCUGAAAUAUAGCCAAGCCUUUGGCGGUCACAAUUCAUAUUUAUAUAACCUGUGGGAGGUGAUCGAUGUAGCCCAGUCUAAGGAUGCCAGGCAACUCUCGGGUGACUUCACUUCAUGAGUAAAAGUUCUUUAUUGAUAAGAUGCCAGUGUCAUACACUUAUGCCAUACUGGCUAGGACUUGCAGCCACAGACAAGUAUCAAGCAGAUAUAGGGUUCCCUGAAGGCCGCUGCAAAUUUCUCCCCCUUUCUCCUAACUGCCCUCUAUUUCUGUAGCCAGGAAAGCAGGCUGUGUGCUUCAUGGACUUCUCAAGGUCAAGCAGGCCCCCAGAGCUGGGACAGAGUACAACAGGAACAAACACCUUUUCUUCACAGUUUCCAACCCUGGGUUCAACUAACAGAAGCACUCAUCAGCAUCAGCUUCAGUUGUGAGGGGUGUAGAAUUCGAGAGGCAAUCUGGAGCAUCCAACGCCCAGCGGAGAGGAGUCAGUAGCUAGAGCCAGGCAGAUGAGGAAGAGGCUGGUGGCUGGGUGGCUGAAAAAAACUUAAUAUGCUCUUAUCACCUUGAACAAGCUAUACCUUGGAUAAUAAUCUUUUAACUCCAGCCCAACGGCAUUUCUAUGAGGAGAAUGGAUA